rnacentral:tRNA from 1 species
GGUCUUGUAGCUCAACGGUAGAGCAGUCCCGACUUAGUCGGGAACGGUUGUGGGUUCGAUUCCCACCGAGCCCA